UUACAGUUGAAUUGCCCAGAAUAGAGCAACCACCAGGGGGAGAUAACUGGAGAGGACACCAAACCAAAUGUGAUCAGUCGUAUGUAUCGCAUCAGUCCAUCUCUAAAAUAGUCUUAACUAGGAACUCCUCUUACUCUGGCCAUGCCAAAGCUUUCCUGGAACCACCUAUCUUGAACUUGCAGGCCGGCUAGUUUAUUAUAGGAAAGUGGAAGAAGAAAU